GAGGGUACAGCUCAGUGGUAGAGCACGUGCUUAGCAUGCAUGAGGUCCUGGGUUCUAUGCCCAGUACCUCCU
rfam:Camelus ferus unplaced genomic scaffold scaffold390, whole genome shotgun sequence.